rnacentral:rRNA from 1 species
AACGAACGCUGGCGGCGCGUCUUAAGCAUGCAAGUCGAACGGCAAGAUUGGUGCUUGCACCGAUCCUAGAGUGGCGGACUGGUGAGUAACGCGUGGGUGACGUACCCUUCAGUUGGGGAUAGCUACUAGAAAUAGUAGAUAAUACCGAAUACGAUUCCUAUUGUUAGAGGGUAGGAAUGAAAGGAGCUAAGGCUUUGCUGAAGGAACGGCCCGCGUACCAUUAGCUAGUUGAUGUGGUAACGGCAUACCAAGGCGAUGAUGGUUACCCGGCCUAAGAGGGUGAUCGGGCACAUUGGGACUGAGAUACGGCCCAGACUCCUACGGGAGGCAGCAGCUAAGAAUAUUCCGCAAUGGACGAAAGUCGGACGGAGCGACGCCGCGUGGAUGAAGAAGGCCGGAAGGUUGUAAAAUCCUUUUAAGUAUGAGGAAUAAGUAGUGUAGGGAAUGACACUAUGGUGACUGUAGUACUUGAAUAAGCAACGGCUAAUUACGUGCCAGCAGCCGCGGUAAGAC